ensembl:lncRNA
UGCACACGGCUGUGAGUGUGGUGUCGUGACUACAUUCAUCUUCAUAAAAAGACUGUGGGCUGAUGUGUUACUUCCUAAUUCACUCAUUGUGUGAGUCUCGUCUCUAUUCUCACUCUCGCUGUAAUGGAGUUGUUCAUCUUCAUAGUGUUUCAGCUCCUGAUGGAGGUUCAGUCUUACAAUUCACUUCCGAAACCCUUCAUCAGUGUUAGUGGAGAUGAUGACCAGCUCAGCAUAUCAUGUGAAAUACCACUUUCAGUCAGAGCUGAUUUCAACUGUAGUCUCUACACUGAGGAUGAUGUUCUUCUGUAUCAACGUGUCUCUCUGUGGAGUCAGUCUGGAGGGAAUCUUUGUAUAUUUUAUGUAAAUCGUAGUGAACUCUUGACACGAUCAGUGAACAGCAGACAACUGUUCUGUGUUUAUUCACGCAAGACUGAACCUGAGAUCAGAUCACCACACAGUGACACAUACACCUUCAGAGCUUCAACACCAACCACCACUAAACAUACGACUACAACAACAGCCACGACAACCUGUGAGUAACUGCGUUUGUAAACCAGUUAUUCUUACUCUAUUCUGAAUGUCCUCAAAACAACAAUAAUUCUUUCAAAUUCAUGAUUAUUUGUUUAACAUUUAAAAUAUGUUGCUGUAAUUUUCACAAUGUCUUUUUUUAGCAUGAACUAAACUGUCCACUUCUGAAACAACAUACAGUAAAAUUGGUUACUAAUAACAUAGCAACAUAAACAUAAGUACAUUAGUAACAAAGUUACUAAUACAGUAACAGCAUUUCUGGUUAUUCUAAAUUAAAUUUGGGAAACAAUGUUCUUCUGAAAAGUGACCCCUUGUGAUAUGUUAUUUUUACAUUAGUAGAUGUCCAAUCCAAGACAAGGCUGCCAACCAGCAAAGCAAAGAAAACCCAGAGUAAGUUCAUCCACUCUUCCUCAAUGAGAAAAGUCACUGUGUAGAAUGAAUAUGUUGGAUUCAAGUCAUAUUAAAAAAUACAGCUGGGAUGCAGUUUCAAAGUUUAUUGGUACAUAGUAGGCUGUAGCACACAGAGAAUUAAAUAAAGAUGUGAUUUUCAACA